rnacentral:rRNA from 1 species
AGUCCAGACUCCUACGGGAGGCAGCAGUGAGGAAUAUUGGUCAAUGGCCGAAGGGCUGAACCAGCCAAGCCGCGUGAAGGAAUAAGGCCCUACGGGUCGUAAACUUCUUUAGUCAGGGAACAAAGGGUGCCACGUGUGGCGCUGUGAGUGUACCUGAAGAAUAAGCAUCGGCUAACUCCGUGCCAGCAGCCGCGGUCAUACGUAGGAUCCGAGCAUUAUCCGGAGUGACUGGGUGUAAAGAGUUGCGUAGGUGGCAUAAUAAGUAGCUAGUGAAAUCUGGUGGCUCAACCAUUCAGACUAUUAGCUAAACUGUUAAGCUCGAGACCGUUAGGGGUAACUGGAAUUUCUAGUGUAGGAGUGAAAUCCGUAGAUAUUAGAAGGAACACCGAUAGCGUAGGCAGGUUACUGGGACGGUUCUGACACUAAGGCACGAAAGCGUAGGGAGCAAACGGGAUUAGAUACCCUCGUAAU